rnacentral:rRNA from 1 species
AACGAACGCUGGCGGCAUGCCUAACACAUGCAAGUCGAACGAGACCUUCGGGUCUAGUGGCGCACGGGUGCGUAACGCGUGGGAACCUGCCCUUAGGUUCGGAAUAACUCCCCGAAAGGGGGGCUAAUACCGGAUAAUGCCUUCGGACCAAAGAUUUAUCGCCUUUGGAUGGGCCCGCGUUGGAUUAGCUAGUUGGUAGGGUAAAAGCCUACCAAGGAGACGAUCCAUAGCUGGUCUGAGAGGAUGAUCAGCCACACUGGGACUGAGACACGGCCCAGACUCCUACGGGAGGCAGCAGUGGGGAAUAUUGGACCAUGGGCGAAAGCCUGAUCCAGCAAUGCCGCGUGAGUGAUGAAGGCCUUAGGGUUGUAAAGCUCUUUUACCCGGGAUGAUAAUGACAGUACCGGGAGAAUAAGCUCCGGCUAACUCCGUG